AGAAAUUCUUUAUAGUCAAUCAUGAAAAAUAUUAAAAAGUGAUGAGAUGUUCUUUUCCAGCAUUGAUGUUUGUUUUUCCGGUUCCUAUUUCUAGUUUGUAUGUAGGCAUCUCUUGUAAACCCUCUUAUGUUUAUAAUACAACCUUUCUUUGCUGCAACCAAGGGCAACUUAAUUUCUUCAUUGAUGUUCAUAUAAUUCUAUGACAGAAAUUUCUAUUCUUACAAAAUAAUGUUAUAAGAAAAUACGACCAAAAUAAAAUGGCAAUGACAGUUUUUUUAAAUAAAAUCAUAUCAUAUCAGUGUGUCCCUUCAAAACAAAAGCCGGCCCACAACAACUAUAUCAUGUUAUAAGAAGUUUUGUAUGAUUUGUUUAAUCAGACUCUCCUGUCAAGAGUGUCAGAGUAUUAAGUGGGAGGGGUUGAUGUGUAAUUAUGAAUCCCUUCUGUUUUGUGGUAUGGUUAGACCAUUCAUACCUUUGGGAAAGGGUUAAUUACACAUUGCCCCUGAAAUUACUUCUUUUUUUCUUCUCACUUAUAAUCUCCCCCUCCAUUGGAUUACAAAUCAAAAAAAUUGUCCCUCCCAUAAAUUUGGGAUGGUGUAUUGUGUCUAUGGCAUAGAAUGGUGUUGUUUAUGUAAAAUUUAGGCCACUACGGACCCAAUAAUAUGAUCAGUAUCAUCAUUAUGUAGAUUUUAUUAUUGAGUAGAUCAUUCAUGAUAAAGAAUCAAAUCGAUCAAACAUUAGUAGCUAGUCACAUAAUCAUAACAUAUUUUCUCUUAAAAAAUAGACUGUAUAUGAUUGUUAGAAAAAAAAUGUAAGCCAAAUGUAACCCGAUGCUAUCGAUAUCUAGUCAACUUAACUUUUUGCAUGAAUAUUCUACUCGGUGAAUUCUACCUAUGAAAUUUUAAUCAUAUUAUUUGAGUUAUGAGUAGGGCCUACUAUGAGUAGGGAGCACCUUGUUGUCCCCAUAGCCACAAUACACAACCCCAAAUAUUUACUUAGAAAAAACCAAAUAUCUUGGGUUGAUGACUGAUGAGUGUAGAAAAGUGCAGUACUGACACAUGAAAAUAAUUUGAAUAAUCACACGAAUUUUCUUUGUUAUGAAAUGAAAUGACCAAAAAAAAUAUUCACAUUUGUAUAGCAUUGGUCUUAUAAUAUGAACUAGGCUAUAGCCGUGAUAAUUUUAUAGGCGUUAGAAAAUAUUAAAAAAUCGUUUAAUAAUUUUACAAAUAAAUAAAUAAAUAAAAAGAUAGCAUAUAUUAUGACGUUAUAUGAUUUUGUUGUGUAGUUUUCAUUAAAAUGAGUGUUAAUACUUAUGUUGAUUUUACUAAAAAAAUAAUUAAAAAAAUUAGUUAGUAUAAUAGCAAUUUAAUUGUAAUAGAUUCCAUUGAAAAAAAUUAAUUUUGAAAUAAUUAUUUAUUUUACAGUGUUAUAAAAAUGAUAGUGAAUAUAGUUUUUUCAAAAAAAAUAUACGUCGCAAUAUCUUGUAUAGACUACUAAAAAUAAAACUCAAACAAACCAUAUUAAGACACUAUUAAGAUGUUUUCCCUUAUAACAUAAGUUUAAUUUUUUUUAUGUUGGCUUCAAAAUAGAAGUCAAAUAACUAUAUUAAGAUAUCAUUAACGUAUUUUCAUAUAAGAUAAAUUUUAAUUUAUUUAAAAAUAAAUUAAAUGAAGCUCGCACAUAUCUUAUCACGAAAGUCACGCUGCAAUAAUAUAUAUAUAUAAAGUAAUGGAUCUGAGUAUUUUUUGAUGCUAGGAAUCUGGAAUCGUGCAUGAUGUUUCCCAUAUAUCACCUUAGUAUUCCUCGUCACCGUAACAAAGAAAUAGGACUAGGACCCACCGGUUAAAAGGAUUUUUAAUGGAAGUUUGUACUAUAUUUUACAUCAAACCAUAUUCUAAUCAAAACCCAUUUCUCUGCAUAAAUUUAGAAAAUGGAAUGGGUCCAAGAAACUUAAUUUAGAAAAAAUUAUUUGAAAAAAAUAUAGAAUCUGUGAGGAAACUGUUAAGAACCUUUCUGAAAAAAUUUUCAUUGAGAUGGGUCUAAAUUCGUUGAAAACGCUCAUUUUCUUGAAAAUUUCCAUGUUCAAAAUUCAUGAAAAUUUAACUUUACAAGUUUAACAUUGUAUAGUUUUCUCGAAACACUUCGUACAAGUUCCCUAUUGUAUUUUUGUUGUAAAAUAAUACCGAAAUAUGCUUUACCCAAGGAAUUAUAAAUAAUGUGAAAAGUAAUUUUUUAAUCAAUAUUAUGUGUAAAAUUAUGUAAUCAAUUAUCUAUACAAGAAAGUUAAAAAAAUGUAAGAAAAUGGUUGAUCAAGUUGAGUGUUAGGCACUCUUUCCUUAAGGACAGAUCGCCCCCCAUACAGAUGUUCAUAGGUCUAACGGGCGUCCACCUUCAAGAUAAAAUGAUCACGACACAGAAUAAGUAGCACUAUAAUAUUUAGGUCCAGCAGAUGCAAACUUUAGAUUCUACUGUAUCCAUGUACAAUUGAAUAUAAUAUGGAAAUGUUAAAUCAAAGAAGAAUUUAUGUUUAUUCAAACAUAAUUUUUAUAUUAAAUUGCAUACAGAAACCUACAUCGUUUCUGAUAAAUCAAUAUGGCAUAAUUAUGAAUGACAGUAUUUCUACACAGAAAAUAGGCUGUCAACCUAUAGAUUUUCUAUACAAAAAAUCCAUACAAUAACACGUAAAUAAUGUAGAAGAAUUUUUUACAGAAAUUUUUUACACACAGAUAUAACAGAAUUUAAAUUCGGUAAAUCAAAAACACAAUUAAUUAACCGAAAUCUACAACAGAAAAUCUGUGUAAAUGUCUGGAACAAUCGCUGAAAAUAUACGAACAGAAUAUAUUUAUAAUAAGUCGUGGAAGAAUUCAUACAGGAACUCGCUGGAAUUUGAUCUUGUGGAGAUGCGCUGGAAUCUGGGCAGUAGGAGUUUUUAAGGAGUACUUCGUCUUUUUUAGAGAGAGAAAAAAGAAAAUUUGUAUUUUUUUAUCUUUCUAUACUCAAACAGAGGGAAAAAAAAUUUCUAUUUAUAGAAUUAUUUUACCACCCUUUUGAAAUGGUACCAGGCAAUGCACCCCUUUUAGGAGGAGUUGCCAACCCUUCGCAGCCAAAUAGGGCCUUAAGGAAAGUGGAAACUUGGAUUUUUAAUUUAAAUUCAAAACUAAAAAAUAAUAAUAAAAUAGGCCCAAACCUUUUUAAUCUAUUAAUUUACAUCACCGCACCAGGCGCCGUCAGGAGGUGGUGCGAGCACGGGGGUAAUGGGCAAACCAGGGUUACAUAGGUCUCCCCUUUCAUUAAAAGUGGGGUGCCCCUGUGGGCCCAAAGCUUUAACCCAAAACUUAGGCUUAAUAUCCACCAACUUUUUUCAUAAAAACAAGGUAGCACAAAGGCUUGGUUUCACCCAAAAUUCAUACUCAAAGUAAUUACUUGGAAGCAAUUAUUUCAUGUAAACCUCAAUUGAAUUUGAGCAAAUAAAUACUUGUUCUUCAUCUCCUCAUGGAGGAGGGAAUACAAAGCAACUUGGACACACUAAAAAGGACAGUGGGUAUCAAAAAAAGAGACCGGAUCAGGUGUCACUGGUUCUUCAACUAUUGGGUCAACAGUUAUUGACCGUAAUGUCAUACCUAUGUCAUUAAUUUAUUUAUUAAUACGAAAUAAAAUAUUUUUUAUUUUUUUGUAUAAUAGUUUUUAUAAUUAAAACCUAAAAUUUAAAUUAAACACAUAAAAUUUUUCUUUAAACAGUGAACUAGACGUCAAUGACCGUUCAACGACUGGGGGUAGCGUGUUUCAAACCGCGGGUGGUUCAUAUUGGGUUUGAUCGGAUUUGAUCCCAAAAACGGUUUUCGAGUGAAAAAUCGGAACGUUCUUGGGACGGAUCACCGGUUCAACCGGCUCGCGAUUUGAUCCAAAUUUUAAAAACAUUGCAUAAAACUACUUAUCCACAAAAACAACAAAAAAUAGUUCACGAAAACUCACAACUAAUCAUGUUUGCAUAUCAAACAGAAACAAUCGUUAUUAAAAAAAGUCUAUCAGUGCACAAUAAUCCGUUAGGAGCCGGAUGAAUCAGGAAGGGGUGUUACGAGAAGGAUUUGUUUAACAGAGUGGUUGAAGAAUUUAUAUAUUAACAAUUAAUACUUAAAAUAGUUGUACAUCUUUACGAUCAAAAAAACAUACUGAUGUACACCGUUUAUGCUUACUAACAAAGUGCCCUAAUUAAUCAAAAUUAUUUCUACAAUUCAUCAUGUGCCAACCGGAGCCAACCUCAAUUCAUUGAAAGGUCUGAAAACGUCCAACAGUGAUGUUGGUUUUAGUGAUUCCAUCUAGACUGGUCCUGCAACAAAAAGAAAGAGAGUAUGAGCUUAGCUUGACGUGAGAUGUGUGCAGAAAAAAAGACAACACACAUAAUAUUACGAAAUGAGAAUUUUUUUACAAGGAAAAAGUAAAUAUUUAAUUAAAAAAUAAAAAAAUAAAUAAAUAAGAGAGUCUCAAGAAAGUACUUAUAUAAACUUUCCUAAUGCUUAACUGUUAACCCCAUAAUUGAUUGGACAAUGAUUAAGGGAUACAAAAAGUCAAAAAUGUUAAUUAUCUGAUCUAAUUUAUUGUCAAUUUAGAAAUUAAAUUUUUUCAGCCGGUCAAACAAAUUUUAAAACUUUCCAAAAACUUAUGAAAGUACAAAGUGGAUCAAAGGAGAUUUUGAGGACAGUUGUUUUCAAAGCGGAAAAAACAAAAUGAAAUGGAGGGAGUAUUUCUUCAAUUCAUAAACUUACACAUCUCAAUAUAGGUUUGUGCUUCGACCUUACUAAUUCUUUUUUUUUAAACUAGGGUAUCCGCCCCAACACUAACUAAUUCUGAGAUUAAUCUCACCGUCCACUUAACGGAAGACCAUUCACACUUUCCACCAAGCCUGGGCUAAUCCACAUGUUUACAAUCAAGUCUUGAAAAUUUGUCAUUCAAAAAAAUGUGUAUAUGGAAAAGGCAAUUUAGGAUAAGCUGCCUAGCCCAAGAAAAUUACUUUUUUUUUUAUACUCAUUUGAUAUAUCUAGGGAAUGUUGGUAAGUUUUUAUUUUUUUAUUUUUUUGUAUUGUUAAUUUUUAUUUUGUUUUGUUUAAUUUUUUGUAAAAUAGAAAAUAAAAAUAUGUUUUUGUGUUCACACCUAUUUUUAAACUUUUAAAAUAAAAAUUAUUUGUAAUUAACUUUUUUUAAAACUAUUUUUAAAAAAAAGUGGAGCGGUGCGGGUUUGAGUGGUGGUGGUGGUGGUUGGAGGUGGUAAGUGACGUGGGUGGUGGUGGCACACGAUGUGGGACGUGGAGGAGAGGAUGGUGGUGGUGAUUGGUGGUGGCGCGGCGGUGGUGUAGUGGUGGUGGUGGUUGGAGGUGGAAUUGGAAGGUGGGCGGUUGGGCGGCAGUGGGGGGUGUUGGUGGUGGUGGCGGUAGCGGUGGUGGUUGGUGGUUAGAGUGGCGGUGGUGGUUUGGCGGCGUGUGGUGGUGGUGUUGAAAAAAUUUGGAUAAAAAAAUUUUGAAUGAAAAAAUUUUUGUAAACAAAUACAAAAAUUUUUUCUUGUUUUUUACUUUACUAUUUUCAAAAUAGUGAAAGUUUGUUUAGCCUUGUUUUCAUUUAUUUUUUCAACACAAAUAAACUUUUUGUUUACAAUUUAUUUUUCAUUCAAAAUAGAAAUUAACAGAAAAACAAAAAUUAAACAGUUAACACACAAGCCCCUAAUGUUGUCCUCCUAAUAUAUUAUUUUUGUAUCUCUUCAUAAUAUGAAUUAAUUAUGAGCGAGUUCAAACACAGGCCUUAUUAUCGACCAUCAUGUUUAUCAAAGUCAAAAACAACAGUUCCAAAAUAGUUUAAACUUCUUCAUUUACUUUACUAAAGUCAUCUUAAACGAUUUUUUGAUUAUCACAACACGAGUCGAGUUUGAAGUAAUUCGGUUUGUUUUAUAAGCUAUUUUUUUACCAUUCCUACUUUGAGGGAAAGUUAUCUAUAAUACCAUCACACUUAGUUUUGAAUCCUCCAAAAUCUGCUCUCUCUCGCUACUACGGCCAAAUUCAUUUGAGUUGAUCCCAACGGUUCAUAUUUCACUUGAAAUUAUUUUUUCACGCCCAAAAACAUCAGUUCACAUCUCUUCAUCUCCUCCCAUCAUUCUCACUUUCUCUCUUUUAUCACAACUUCCUCUCUUGUUAGUAGGAUCCUACACACACCUUUAUUUUAUUUUUUCUCAUUUUUAAUUUAUUUAUUUAAUAAUUUAAUUAUUAUUUGAUUAAAUUUUAUAUAUUAUAAUUAUUUUGACGAUAAGAGCCUAAAAAUAUAAAAAAAUAUUUUAUUUAAAUAUAAAAUAAAUAAUUAUUUUUAAUGAACUUUCUCAAAAAAGUAAAUUCUUUAAAUUUUUGUAUAUUUUUAGAUUCUUUUUUAAUAGAAGAGAAAAAAUUAAAAUAUUAUUAAUUAGUAAAAAAAAUCACUAAGGCGAUAACAAAUUUAAAAAAUAAAGCAAACAAAAAAUUCUUCAAAUAGAAAGGGAAGUUAGGUCCAAUUUUCUUUAAUUGUACUUUUUUUAUUUAUUGAAUUUAAUUUGCCCAAUGAAUUUUGUAAAAAAUAUUUGAGUAAAAUUAUUUUAAAUAAUUUAUCAUAAUAGAAAACCCAUAUAUUUUAAAUAUUCUAAACUAACUAUCUAUAACUUAUCGAUUUAUAAUCAGGACUUAUUUGAAUAUCAUAUUUAUGCUCUCGCUAUCUAUGGUUGAAAUACUAUGAUUAAUCUUAACGGUUGAGAUUUAACUUGACUUUUUUUCCUCCCAAAACUAUGACUUCAUUCUUCUCAAAAAGUAUGGGGUCCCCACAUAAAUUCUUAUCCAAUGGACACAAAAUUUUAAAGUUGGUCAUGAUAUUUUACCCAUUGAAUUAUUUUUUCGUGAAACCCACCACAAAAAAUAAUAUACAUACCUUUUUUUUUGUGUGUGUGUGUCUAAUACUUUUUUACUAUUGAUCAAUUUUUAUAUUAUUUGGUUAUUUUAAACGAUAAGAGUCUAAAAAUAAUAAAAAAAUAUAAAAAAUUAUUUAAUUUUAAGAAAAAAAUAUAAAAUAUUGAUUUAAAUCGUUGAAAAAUCACAUAAAGACAAUAAAUAUAAAAAAAAGCAUAACAGAUAAAAAAUUACCUUUAAUAGAAGGAAAAAUUUUUUACGUACCCUAUUUUUUUUAUAUUUUUAAAAUUAAUUUAUUCAAUGGUUGUAAUAAAAAAUAUUUAAAUUUAAUCAUAUAAGGGCAAAAAAUAUAUAAAUUUUAACGAGGUAGGGCAAAAAGAUGGUCUUUUUUUUUAUAUAGUGCCCGUGGGCACCGGGGCAAUUAACUAGUUUAAAAAAAAAAUCCAAGUCACAAAAAACAUAAAUUCUAUAAAAUUUUAAAUGAUGUGAACCCUAAUAAUUGCAAACUAAUAUCAUCAUAAUGUUAAUCAAUCUUACCUUUUAAAAGUUAGGAGCUAAUAAUCAACACCAUUUUUUAUUUCAGCACUUAUGUUUGUAUAGUCUUCCUAAAUUUUAGAAGCGUCAUCAAUGUCAGAUUUGAAACCAUUUGAUGUGGAAUAUUUUGCAAAUGAAUACCCCCUCUCAAAUGGUUCUUUUGCCACUUGCAUCAAACAAAAUAACCAACGACAAAUUCUAAUUAUAAACACCUAAUUUAGGUAACUUUUCUUGGGUUUGUAGUAACCCAUAUCUCAUCUCAGCUAAACUCAAUCGAUCAAAGAAAGAUUAUUCUUGUAGCCCUAAGUUACGGCUGGACAAAUUUUUUAAGUGGCUUUUCCGGGACCUUUGAACGCGGUCCGGUGACUCUAUGAAUACAACGUCCAAUAUUUGUAAUUACCAUUUGAUUUAUCCCUGGACUAAUCUAUGUUGUAACUUAACUGUAACAUCAUCUAUGUCUCCUCUAAUCAUAGCAAAAGCAUCAUUACAUGUAAUACAAUUAAUCCACUUAAGUUAUGACCUAAUGUGAUAUCAAAUACUUUUUAAGGAGACAAAAUAACAACCAAAAAUUAAAAAUACCCAUCCUAUAUAAUCACUUUUGGGUUGGCACUACAAAAUGUCCUGUUCAAUAUCUUCCACAAGAAUAUUUGGUCUUGUAUUCUAAUUUUGAAUGGAAAUUACUGUCCGGCCAUGUCCUAAUCCCAAAAAUAGCUUUUGGAUGUCUACCUACUAAUAACCGUACUUCCACUUUUGUAAAUAGAAGUUCAAUUCACACAUCAAAGCAAAGAAAGAUCUUAUUCCUCACUCCAAGGAAAAUAAACUAAAUAGAGGAUCUAAUAAUUUCUAUGUUAUUCUUUUGGUUUUAUCGUUCUUUUUUCCUUAUAAUGUCCCUUCAUUUUUUUUAAUCCAAAUUAGGGCUUAACGUGAUAGAAAAAUAAGAAAAACUAUAUACCCACCAUAUACCCCUUUGGGGGGUGUGCACUAUAAAUUGCCUUGUUCCCACAUGUCCCUGAAGAUCAUAGGUUGGUUUCUUUUGAUAAAUUCUUGUACUCCAAUUAAAAUCCUCAAUCCAAAAUACAUUCCGGAUGUUUAACUACUAUAACAAUACUACAACGUUUGUAACAUAGAACCUUCAAUUAUACAUCAAAAGCAGAAUUAAUAAAUAGAACUUCAAUCUACAUCAAAGUUAAAUUAAUAAAUUUUUUUAUUUAUAAUAAAGGGAAGCAUUAAAUUACCAUAUAAGCAAAGAAAAGUGCACAAUAACCAUUGCGCGCUAAUUAUUACAUAAUCACUAACUUCUGAACGUACUCACAUAAAGAAGUGAAAUCUAAUAAAACAAACAAUCACGUACAGAUAAUGUUCAGCAGAUAGCUAGCAAGGUCUUUGAAAUUUGUGAACAUAAUUGUACAUGAAACCGUUAUUACUAUGGACAGCUUAAUCACGAGGAUAUGUCUUGUUUUUGCUUUUGGUCUUGUCAAUUGAGGAACUAGUAGCCUUACCGCUGCCUCAACCAUCAUCUUCAUCACAGACUUCUUCUCUUUUGGGAAAUACAUUUCCUUCAUUUUUUUCGUGAGAAGACUCUGCUUUGCCUUUGCCGGCUCCGUUUCUGACAUUUUCUCUCUCUUGUGAGUUUUUUUUAGAUAGAGAAAGAGAGAUCAAAAGGAAGCUUAUAUUGGCGUUUAGGUUUGAAUGGCAUACAAUUACUUAGUGCCGACUCCUAUUUAUAUCCGUCGUUAUGGACAUAGUUUCGUUUGCUAAGCUAAAAAAACAAAUUGUUGAUUAAUUUUCCUCAGCAAUUCCUACUAUGUCCUCUGUAUUUACUAUGCAAAAUUUGCAAUUCGUGCCCUACAGAUAUUUUGUGGUGAGUUCUGUGUUUGGAUUCCUUAAUGGCUUGGAUUACACUAAUUAUCCAAGAAUUACUUCAGUUUUGCCUUUCACUGCCUAGGAUCUCCCUCUAGACUGGAUUUAAAAUUUCGCUCAUAGCUAUUAUACCGUAUUUGGUGUCGUUUUUAUUUUUUGUUCUAAAACCGACAUUUUUUUAAAACAUAAAAGAAAUUUCAAGUCCUUGGACACUAUUUCUCCCUAAAACUGAAUAUGGCCUGUUAAACGAUGCAAUUUUUUUUUUUCUCAACAGCGAUUUCUAAAAAAAGGUCCUAAAACACAACUGUUUUUUUAAAUCAGCUUCAACAAAACUCAACUCAAUCCUCAUUACUGCCACAAAAAAUGGACUGUGACCUACCGUUGAAAAGCUUUGAUGUGGAAAAAAUGUUAGUCACGUCGCCUCCAUAACAACCUCGCCCACAUGAAUUUUUGGUCGCCAUCUAUUUACUUUUUGAACACCUCGCCUCCAGUCCUCCUCGCCAGAUCAAAGGACUCGGAUCCUCGCGUCACAAUCUACUGCAUCCGAACUUAUCUCCGGAAAUCUCGCCUAAUAAUAAGACCAUUGCACUCCUAUGUGGCGGACUGCUCUUCACUGGCAUCCUCCCGAGAUCCUCCUCGGAAUUCACCGGGAUACACUUUCUAAACUGAGUUACCCCAAAAUCUCUCCUGAAUAUCCUCACCCUAAUAUCCCUCUCCGUUUAUUAUAAGGCCACUCCCCCUUUAUACAAAGGUUAGCAAACAAUUUUAAUUAAUACAACUUAGAAAGCUCUGCUAUUGGAUUUUAGUUUCUCUUCUCCUUGGUCUGACGCCACGCCGGAGGAUUUUGAGUGGCCUCGCCCCGGCCGAUUACGUUUGUUUUCAUUGCUGUGCAGUUCGCCCAAUUAUUACCGAAUCCAGCCAAGGCCGAGGAGGCAAUUUGACUGUUGUUGCUCUCACCAGAUUUUUACCAACAGUUUGGCGCCGUCUGUGGGAACGACAGUUCUCGAUUUUCUAUGUACCUGCGUAUCAAUUAUCUACCCAGACCAAGUGCCAGUGCCCUCCGGAUAACAGAGCUCCUCUCAGGCCAAUACCAGCCAGGUUCGGACUUGAAGGCUCCACCGCAAUAUACACGGUAUGGCCGAACCGAUGAGAAUCUGAUGAGAACCAACGCGCCACCUUGUCCAACCCUCGGCUGCGGCCAAUCCCCCACCUCCGGUAGCACCACCCAUCCCCGAGGUAGAGCGAUCCCACCAUCUAUCAUUCGGGAGUCGUUCCUCAAAUCUCAGUAACCGAUCGAGCACGGAGGGGGAGACGCCGAUCACCAAGUCCUCCCCGACGUUAAGUAGGUUCUUCCUUUGGAAUCUAGUGAAAUUCCAAUAGUGGGAAGCGAGGAUACGAGGAGGGAAGGAGCCCUCGCAGAGUUAAUCGAAUCCAGGCGCGAGACAAUUCUACAUCACAAAAUGAUUAGAGAUCUAGAUGCCCAACUCGACACCAUUAACACUGGGACGAAUGCUCCGGUCAUAGUGACACUUGAUAUUGUACAGACCGAACGCUGUUCACAGAGAGGAUAUUGAGAGCUCGAUUUCUUCAGGUUCAAGUUACCUACCCAGCUCAGAAUCAUGAGGAAAGACCGAUCGAUGAACCACCUAGAUUCCUUCCAAAACCUGAUGUCGGCUCCAGGGUUUUUCGGACGAGGUUAUGUGUAAAGCAUUCUCUACCACUUUGAAAGGAUCAGCAAGAUCCUGGUUCCGAAAGCUGGCCACCUGGGGGGAAAAAAAAACCAUAGACUCUUUUGGCGACCUCAGUCGACUCUUGUCGCCAAUUUUAUGAUCUGCAGAAAUCUGCAGAAAAACGCUUCACCCUCUUCACCGUUCACCAGCAGGAACUAAGAGCUUUAAGACUUUGUGGAAACGAUUUCAACCAAACUAGAUUAGAAGUCGAGGAUCCCCGCGACAAAGUAGUAAUCGUGGCAAUGAGGAAGACUCCGACCUGUCCACUUUCUACUCUCUUUCCAAAAGUAUUCUGAACUUUGUCUGCCUUCUAGAGCAAAGCGGACAGUAUAUCGCCGCAGAAGAAACUAGCCGGCCAAACGCAGGCGACGAGGAAAAGAGGAUCAUAAAAGGAAUGAGCCUGAUACAAGGCGGAUUAUUAUAAGAAGAUGGGCGAGAAAUAUAGACCCAUCGAGAAUCAAAACGCCCUUACGAUAGGCGAGUUCCGUCGUACCCCCACCUCGCCGCCUUUAUUUUUAUUUUACCUCCCAUGCAACGCUCUCGUUGCCCAAUACUCUUGGAAAUUAAACAUGAAGAGUUUGGUCAAAUGGCCCGAGAAGUGAUCAAAACCUGAGCCCCUAAAGAGGACCCGAAUAAAUCUGUGAAUUCCACCGAGACCACGGGCACAACACGUAAUUUUUUUUUCAUUGAAGGCAAAUUACCGAUCUCUAAAAGGGGUUUAUUUGAGGAAGUCUGUCGCUUCGCUGCUCGCGACCGUCUAACUCCCUAAAAGAAGAUAUGGCAACAAUAGACCAACUGCGGGUGAUAUUCAAACAAUCACGGUGGUUUGGAUCGGGGGGCGUGUUUCGUCUCAUCAAGGAAAAGGCAUCUCAAAGUGCCCAUAGCUCGGCCGAAGAAGAAAUCUACAACCUUUCCUCGACUUGUGGUUGGCGACACCCACCAAUCACCUUCAACAAUGACGUUUGAGAGCUACACCCUACCGCCCCACGACGACGCUUGGUUGUCUCUGCCGUCAUCGCCAAUUUCAAUUUUCAAAGAAACAAAUUUGUUGUUUAAUCUAUAAUGGAGAUCAACAGACAUCUUAUUCUCUCGGCAUUCGAAAGGAUGAAAAUUGGGCUGGGAUAAAGUUGCACAAAAAACCUUCCAUACCCUUUGAUCAGAUUUAGAGGAAAUAUAACAUAUAGCACCUUGGGAUGGAUCAACUUACCAAUAACCCGGGGGGCCGAACCACACCAGACCACCGUAUGGCAAGAUUUUAUUGUGGUGGAUUGCCCAGCGCCUUAUAAUGCACCUAGGCGACCACUUUAGGAAGGAAUCAGUAAUCACUUCGACCUAGUCAACCUGAAUGACUGAGUUUUUCCACUCAACGGAAGAGAUGAGAUAAAAGGGCGAUCAAAUGACUGCCAGGCAAUGCUUUCCUCUCGGCCAUGAGGUCGAAACCUCCGCAAUUCCGAUCGCCAAAUAGCAAUCACAAAUUCGGACGACGACAUGGAAGUACUGAGAGAUGAGGUGGAACACUUACCCCUGGCAGUUCCCAGAGAAAACCAAAAAACAACACCAAAACCCUCGAAGAAGUCGGCUGCUCCAAUCUCCAUACACCCAGAUUACCCUGAUCGCCAUACUCAUGAUCGAAUAUAGCUUACCAAUGAGCUCGUUCCACCUUAGUAAAAAAAAUUUCCUUGAAAAAGACUCUGACUAUCGCCUGUCCCCAGGGCGAUAUCCCUGGCAUUAAUUCGAAAGUCGCCAUGUCACCGCUGUUACUAAGUUUAAAUAUCUACAAGUUAUUGUGAAAGACAACUUUAAAUUCUAAGUUAAAGGGUAAAAAACAGACUUGGAAGUAUGAGUAGAAAACCUGAAUUAAGUUGAUGUUUUAUUCAAAACCACUGUCGGUAUUUAAAAUUCGCCCAUAACCUCUUCAUACGAAAACAUUUUUAGUUUAAUUUAAGUACCUAAAAAUAGUCCUAUUUUAAAGACCUACAAUUUUAUGUGAAAUAAUAGUUUUCAAUUCGAAGAUUUAAUGGCUCAAAUAACUUGGAAGUUUCGAGUAGAAAUACGGAAUUGUCCGUCAGUUGUUAUUCCAAACCACUGUCGGUAUUUUCGCCAUAACUUCUUCAUCCUAAAAUAUUUUUAGGCCGUUUAAGUGUCCAGGAAUAGCUUUUUUAAAUACCCUACACAAUUUUAUUUGAAAUAAUAUUUUUCAAAUUCAAAAUCUAAUGGCCGCAAAACAGACUUGCAAGUUCAAACAGAAAACUGAGUUUUUGAUUUUUCAGUUCAUCGAGUUGAAAAUUUUUUCAACAGUUUAGGGUUUACAAAAUUAAUUUUAAAUAACAAACACCCAGUGUGAUGUUAGCCUAGUACUUAAAAAAAAUAAAUUAGUUCAUAAAACUACUUAGUAAAUAUAUUAAUCGUAAUUAUGUCGACAAAUGAAAUGUAUAUAGAUCGAUCCGAUUAGCCUAAGGAACAAGACGAGCGGUUUACACAAUACCCAAGCAAGCAAAGUAAAGAUACCUUAAUCUCUAAAGUAGAAUAUUACUUUUUGAAUGCUAUGAAUAUAUGCAUGAAUUAUGUUAUGCUAUGCAAAUUAAAUCCAUGGCUUAGAUGAGAAUGUUUUGAAAAGAUUUGUUUGUAGGUAUAUGCCUAUGUACCAUCGAUGUUUCUUUCUACCUUUUGGGAAGGUACUUCUGCCAGCAUACCCCGCUCAAGGGGUGUAAGAAAUCACGUUAUCAACCCGACUAAGGACCGGGUGUCAUAGUGCAUAAUGUAUUUUUCAAGAAAUUAAUGUUGACUCGGAUAUAGUCAAAAUAACAAGUACAAGCAUGAAUUUUGAACAAGUAUUGGCGAAAGAUGAAUGUUUUAAUCUUUCUUCUCUCCACGCUUGUAUGUUAUAAUGCAUCUACCAUGGGAUUUUUUAUGUUUUGAUAUGUAUGAUAAAACCUAUGUAGAGAUUAUGGUUAGACGCUAAGCAAAUGUGCUUAGGAAUAUUGUUUUUGACAAUAUUUCCAGGUGAUAAAGGAAAGCAAGUGGGAGUAAAUCGUAGAACCAUGUUAUGUAAUAAGAACAACAAAUUUAUGUAGUAUAGUAGUUCGGACUAGAAAGGUCCGAUGCUUUUAUUAUGUAUGUAUUGAAGUAAUUUAUAAUGUUAAGACAGGUACAGUCUCUCUACCCUACCGUCAUGGGCAUGUAUUCAAAUGAAGAAUUUAAUAUUGAGUUUUUAUAACUCUAAAUAAAUUUAUAUGUUUCGCUGUCCGCACACGCAAAGUUUUUUAAAAAAAAAGAAAGCAAAAAGUUUAAAAAAAAAAAUUUUACAUGGGAAAAAAUCAAAGUGACGACGCUCGAUUCCGCGUGGACCAGUGGGCGUCCGGGUGGGUCGUUACAGAAUGGUAUCAGAGCCCAACGGUUUAUAAACUUGUCUAUGUCUAAGGUACGAUAACUACGUAUUAAGUGAGAAUAUUAUUCGGCAUGCUAAAGACUAUAUGAUAACAAUAUAUUUUUUUUAGUGUACUCCUCUCUCAAUUGUUUGUCUCACGUUCGAGUAUGUAAUGUGUUUUAUAACCAUGGCAACAAAGGGCGAGAGGACGUAGGGGAAGGGGAGGUCGGGCAACCCCGACCCCAAUAGAAUUAAGAGCCUUGGAAGGUUAGUCAAUCCUGGAGUACCAUAACCUCCUUCCCAAGGGGGGAUCCCAACGAUCCGCAAUUUCGCGACGCUAAGGCCCUCCAACGUUUGAAGGCAAGGAAAGACUGAUCCCGAAGUGGCCUGAGCGUUGGUUACAAGAGAUUAGUAAGACUUACAACAGUAUUUUCCAUGCACGGAUGCACAAAAGGUUUAGUUUCGCUCGUCGCCGCCUACAUGUUUGUGGGAGAGGCGCAUGAAUGGUGGUUACUCACUUCGGAGGAGGGAGCCCACAGACUUGGGAGAGGUUUUCAAGAGUUUUUCGAUGAUAAGUAUUUUCCACAAGCACUGAGUC
rnacentral:lncRNA from 1 species